UAAUGAACGGCUAGGAUUAAAACUCCCAUAUCUAAUUACCUACACCCAAAACCCUAAAAGAUUUUUUGGAUUUUCUCUUUUUCCCUCAUCAUUUUGACUCUCUCUCUCUACUCUUCAUCUUCUCGAAAGAGAAGAGAAGACACAACCGCCGCCGCACACCCCUAACUCCGGCGAGAUCGUCUCCUAGCACCCACCUCCAUCUUUCUUUUUCUCACUCUAUUUCUCUAUGCAAUUCAGAUCUUCGAUCAUUAUCAUCAUCUCACUCUCUCUAUAGAUCUAUCUAUGUUUCGCGGAGGCACACACACGCACACCCCUGUCUCCCUCUAUCUCUUCUCAUCGUCGGUGAGACCAACCGGCAGCAACAUGAACAGCUGCAGCGACAGCAGCCUCCUCCAGCUCCACGAUGCAGCAACCAGUGAUCCAACAGCAACAACGAACGACACCAAUAGUAGCUCGCAGCUCUUUCUCCACGCAGCAGCCACAACGACGUCUCCGAUGAGAUGCUAUUCAGAGAAAACUGUCGCUCCAUCAGAGAGCCAUAAAGAGGACCAAGCGCCGGCCAACAGUCACAAAUGAUGAGGAAAAUCGACAUGAUUUGAGGCCGAUUCGGGUUUGGAUUUCAAAAGUCCAAGACAUGAAGAGUUCAUUUGGAACAGACUCAGCUAGUUUUAGUUUCUGGUUUAUUAUUUCUAUUUCUGUAUUAUGCUUUCUUGGUUAUUUUGGUAUGUAAUAAUAAACUCCGUAUAUAAUGAAAGGGGAAAAAAUACAUGGGGAGGGAAUAUACUUGCUACUAGCUUAUUUUAUUUAUUUUUUAGUUUAUCAUGAA